rnacentral:lncRNA from 1 species
AUGUUUCUAAUACGCAGCUUGAAUGGUUUCUAACGUGUGGGUUGCAUGGCUGACUCCCCUUUGGCAUAUAUGUAUGCAGGCUUUGUUUUGUUUUGUUUUUAUAUUAGGCCUUGAUGUGCAAUUAAAGCACAGAGUAGCCUCCUCUGCUUCUCUCCAGAAUAAAGAGAUUUGGAAAAUAUCACAUUUACAUCCACAUGUUUGGAGCCUGCUUGAGUCCUUCCCGAGGAGAGUAAUUCACUGGGGCAGUUGGGAAAACUUGAAUAUGGACCAAGUUUUACCAUUACGCACCAGUGUCCUGGUUAUUGUUAAAUGGUGCCAUGAUUGAUUAUAUAAUAAAAUGUUGGUGUUUCAGAGAAAUAGUAAGUAUUUAAGGAUGAAAUAGUAUGCUUUUUGGGAUGUUUGAAAUUAAUUAAAUUAAAAAAUAUAGUCAGUGAAGAUAUAAGGUAAAAUUUAAUAACUGCCCAACUGAUUAAUUGGCUACCAUAAUUCAUAUGUGUGUGGAGGUCUGAAAAUUUCUAUAACCUUUGAGGAACUAAAGGUUAUAAUGGCAAAGACUUCACCCAGAUGUCUGCCAGCCUGGACUUCUUUGUUAUCAUUUAUUGCUUUUAUCAUUUCUGCCUGGUGAUGCGUGUGUCUCUUUAUCGUGGGUGUCCUGGUUGUUUUGCUUUGUUUCGUUAACUUGGCAUAAGCUAGACUCAUCUGGGAAGAGGAGGGGCUCAUGGAUUAAGAGAGUGCCUCCAUGAGA